rnacentral:lncRNA from 1 species
GUUAGACUGGGUUAGACUGUGGUGUUAGGGUUAGACUGGGUUGGACUGUGGAGUUAGGGUGACUGUGGAGUUAGGGUUAGACGGGGUUAGAGUGGGUUAGGGUUAGACUGGGUUAGACUAUGGAGUUAGGGUUAGACUGGGUUGACUGUGUGUGUUAGGUUGAGACUGGGUUAGACUGUGGAGUUAGGGUUAGACUGUGGUGUUAGGGUUAGACUGGGUUAGACUGGAGUUAGGGUUAGACUGGGUUAGACUAUGGAGUUAGGGUUAGACUGGGUUGACUUUGUGUUAGGGUUGAUUGAUGGGUAGAUGUGUGUUAGGGUUAGACUGGGUUAGACUGUGGUGUUAGUGUUAGACUGGGUUAGACUUGGUUGUUAGUGUUAGACUGGGUUGACUGUGGUGUUUAGGGUUAGACUGGGGCAUUAGGGUUAGACUGGUUUA